CCUGAAGAGUUUAUCAAAGAAGCCGUGAGGGGUGUGCCCCUCUGCUGGUUUCCCUGGUAACAAACGAGCCAACCUGAUGUCCAUUCCGCCUCUAAUUAGUAACCUCCCCCGCAACCCUAGGAGCUAAGGUGGCCACCAUGUCCUGUCCGCUGUGGGUCCUACUCGGUGAGAUGUCGCUCCAGGACCGUACUUCAGACAGUUUUCCUCCAACAUGGAUAACUAGGAAAAUAUGAAGGAAGCCUAGUACCAAGGAUCAUGAUCUGGAUCCAGGGUAUGCAGCAUUCACUCUGGCUUCAAGCUCAAGAGCGAUCUUAAAAAGUUGCAAGUUGGAAAGAAGUGAUAAUCUGGAGUUUGAAUUCUGCUGUCUCGUGAUUGUAAUCAAAAUCCUUGAACAGAACUGUCAAGAAUCUAUAGACAUCUGAAGGGCUAAGAAUCUUCAUGGAUUGUUCACGUUUUUUCUACAAUGGGUACAUCUAAUCAAUGGAUGAAUUGAACCUUCCUUAUCUAGGUUUUAGUAUGUGAAAUAUUUAAAUAGACUUUUAUAGAAAGUUUUCAUAUGUGGAAUAUUUUAAAUAUACUUUUAUAAAAAGUCAUCAGCAAUUCACCCAUGUAAUUUUAGGUAGUAAGUGUAAACUUGGUUUUACCCAGUGAAUAUUUCAGAGUAAAAUGUGAAGAUAGACCCAAAGAAAAGUGAUAAUAACUGGAGGAACUCACUCUAAAAUUUCUGGCUUUCCUUCCAUGAGGAUAUGGAAGAUUUUCUUUUCUAAUUAGGAGCAAAAACAUUGAAAUGCUGUGUGUAAAAAUGGGGAAAAGAUGAAAUAAAGAACAUAAAAACUAGAGUGGAGAAGGCUGAGUAUAGAUCAGUUCAAGAAAAAUUUACUUGGCAUUUAUAUCACACCUGGCAUAAUCCUCUGUGUUAGGCAUAGAGAAUGUAGUUACUGAGGGCAACAGAAAUGUAAAUAAUUAUGAUCCAGUAUGACCAGUACUAUGAUAAAAAUGUAUAUAAAAUGCUGAGGGAACACAUAAAGAAAAGGACUCACUCUGCCAUGAUAGAACUCAUGAGAAGAGGUAAUAUUUUAGAUCCUCUUUAAAAAAUAUUUUUACUUUUAACAAGUCCUUUCGUUAUCAUCCCUACUUUGAAAUUCUAUUUCUAGGGACUUUCAAACUUUUCAACAGUUUCCUCUGUUCCUAAGUUUAUUAUUCUAAAUACUACUGUGUGAGUGUGCUUUUUUAAAAAAAAUUUUCAGUAUUACAAAUUGAAAGAUUUCUGUUUGUACACCUAUUUUAUUUUAUAUAGGUAAAACACAUUUUUAUGACUCUAAAUGUCUGAAAGAUACUGAAGAAUCCAAUUGAAAACUGAUGAAAUUGCAUUUCUUUUGUUUUCUUUUUUGGGGUUAAUUUUUCAUUGAAAAUGCUUGUCUGGAUUUUGCACUUCUUUAGUUUGUUUUACACUUAUCAAGUUAUAAAAUUCUUUGAAAUGUCCCUUAAGAACUGUAAAACAUUUGUUGACAUUAUUUUCUAAAUAUUCUAAUUCCUCAGAUACACUACCAGAUUUUUGUUGUUAUUGUUGUGUUUGUUGAGUUGAGUUUGUCUGUUUGUUUAUCAGUUCAGUUCAGUCUCUCAGUCAUGUCCGACUCUUUCC